rnacentral:lncRNA from 1 species
AAUUUAAAAUAAAAAAAAGUAUAUAUUUAACGAAACAGAAGUAUAUAUAUUAAACUUAAAAAACUUAAAACCAAUGUAUGCAUAUAUUUAUAUAUUAAAACUAAACAGUCAAGAACAUAUAUAUUAACUUAAAAAAAAUAUAUGUAUAUACUUACAUAUAAAAAAUAGCCGUAACAUGUCUAUAUUAAAAAAAAAUAAAACAUAUCAUAUUAAAAGAAAAAACAGAAAACAAAUAUAUUAGAAAUUUAAAACAAAAGUAAGCCAUGUAUAUCCAAUAAAUUAAAGUACAUAAUGAAUAACAAAAUCAUUAAAAUAUCAAAGUAAAAAGAUUGAAAUAAGAUCUAAGAAGGGAUUUAUAAGGUGAGAGAAUUGUUUUUAUGUGAUGUUGGUAAUGUAUAGAAGUUUGAUGUAUAUUGUGUAUGGAGAAAUGAGUGUUGGUUCAUGAACAUUUUAGUGUGAGGGGUAAGUUCAUGUUUUCAGAAGAAAAAGGUGGGGUUGGAGAUUAUGAGAGAGAGGAAAAAAAUGGGAACUCAGUGAUGACUAUUAAGAGAGAUCAUGAGUCCUUCAAAAAAGUAAAGAGAUCCAUUCUUAUUCACUUUAUUUUGUUUUGGUUUAUUUCUCUUGAAAACAAAGCUACGAGUCAGUGAGGUAUACCGCCGCGGAUGCGUAUUGGCUCCGCCCAGUUCCUUUC